GUCUCGUUGGUGUAGUUGGUUAUCACGUGGGUCUCAUAGCCAGUGCUUUGACUACUAAACAGUAGUAGAUAUCCCAAGGCCGCCAGUUCGAGUCUGGCACGGGACA